ensembl:lncRNA
AUGUGCCACAUGAAAAGUUGCUCAUGGAGGACAGGGAAUAUACCUAGCUUCAACUUUUUAGGAGGCCUUUCGACCAGAACAUGGAGGCUGAAGCUCAAGCUCAUCCUUGAGAGCAUCUUGACAUAUGCCAGUGGUAACUUCUUUUUCAAAUUUAUUAUCAAAUUUUUUUUUUUUUGCAAUACCCUCAUUAACAUUACCGUUAACUAUUAUGUUUUCAGAAAAGCUGCAUUACAUACAGAAUCCUUAGCUAAUGUCUUUUUGGCUUCUUGUCAAGAUAAACCAACAAUCUCUGUUUUGCUAGUAGAAAAUGUGCAUUGAUGAAUUGUGCACAAUAGGACCAGAGAAAUAGGGCUGAUUUGGAUUUCAUAUUGACUUAUCAAGAUCUGCCGUGCUGGAUAACAGCACAUUAGCCAAUGAGAAAAUAUAACAGAAAAAAGUACCAUAACAUUGACCUCUAUAAAAUGAAUUAAGUUGUAUAAUUAGUUACUAUUUUUAAAUGACAACAAAAGGAUUCUAUAAUUUUUACGGAUUCCAAAUUAUGCCUUCAAGCAAUGGGCACUCUAAAAACUGAUCAUCCUUUAGUAUACUGCAUUUUAACUAAAGUGGAUCAUCUACAGAAUCAGUUUGUCAGUAUUAUCUUCUGCUGGGUUCGGAAAUGAGCAAGCUGAUGCAGCUGCAAAGGAGACUUUUAAUCAGGAAGUAAAUUAACGUCAAAUUCCUCCAUCAGAUAUCAGACCUAUUAUUAAUCAUUAUAUAAUCAAUAAAUGGCAAGAAGAGUGGGAUACAUGCACAUAUAGUAAAUUACAUAAAAUCCAUCUGUAAAUCUCAAACAGAUUUUUCAUUUUACCUAAAACCAGAUUUGAACAAGUAGUCUUUAUCAAAUGUCGUAUACAGGUGGGUCAUACAGGUCUGACUGCAUUUUUGCUUAAAGGUGAAGACCCAACUCUAUGCAUGCUCUGCAAGACCCCCUUUUCUAUUAAACAUUCUUUUCAAUGUUCCCGGUUUUUAUGAAGUUAGUUAUUUUAAGGUGUUAUUAAGUAAGAUUUUGCCUGAAAAAGGUUUUAGAUUUUUUAUCAUAUUCAUUUUAAAAAAUGUUGUAUAAUAUUACUUGCUAUGUUUGUUUGUUUGCUUGGUUUUAUUACAUUUAUGUGAUGUUUGCCUUUUGGUAAUUGAGAUUUUGUCAUGAAAAUAGCCCCAGAUGCUGACAUGGCAUUAAAUAAAAUUAUACUACUACUACUACUAUUUUUAAAUGUAACAUUAAUUUGCAAUGUAACUUUCCUUAGCUCUGGUCAUUAGCCUUUGUGUAGCUUGUGUUGGACAUUUCAAACUACUGAUGCAAGUAUUAAACUUUAAUUUGUCAAGUGGAGUUUUGGAGAACUGUUGACAUUGUUGUAUCUGUUCAUCACCUGCUAUCUAUUAGCACUGUUGCUGAUAGUGAGGAAACAAAGCUGUGGAAUUUCUUCACAUAGUUGCUGCCAAUGCUGUGGAUUGUGCUUUCAGUAUUGGUGGAUAUCAAUUAGCAUGUAGCUUUGUACGUUUCUGUUUCUUAAAAAAUAUUGCCAAUUAUCUUUCUAAUUCUUUGUGUUGCUAACAAUCAUAAAGACUUUAUGUAAACUGUGAUAGCCUGCAUUUUUUUGUACAUUAGAUGCUUUGUGAUUACCUUGGAAAGAUUAAAAUCAUAUUAGUGCACAUUGCAUCACUUAAGUAUUGCUUUCAUAUACAAAUAGUGAGUCAAUAAGGCGUAUUAUUGAGUCUACAUCUCUUGUGUUUAUUGACAGAAGGGCUUGGAGGCCUAAGUGACUAGAACAUUCUUGAGUUUCUUCAGGAUAACAUGUUCUUUGCUUGUCUUGAAGUAAUUUUCCUCCUCCUUCUAUAAAAGAAAUGUGCACUGGAUGUGUGCUUAUCCAACAAACAAUAAACGUAUCU